rnacentral:rRNA from 1 species
UAAUACAGAGGUGGCAAGCGUUGUUCGGAUUUAUUGGGCGUAAAGGGCACGCAGGCGGCUUUUUAAGUCAAACGUUUAAUCCCAAGGCUUAACCUUGGUCCAGCGUUUGAAACUGGGAAGCUUGAGUGCAGGAGAGGUGAGUGGAAUUCACAGUGUAGCGGUGAAAUGCGUAGAUAUUGUGAAGAACAUCGGUGGCGAAGGCGGCUCACUGGCCUGAAACUGACGCUGAGGUGCGAAAGCUAGGGUAGCGAACGGGAUUAGAUACCCCGGUAGUCCUAGCCGUAAACGUUGAGUACUAGGUGUAGAGGGUAUCGACCCCCUCUGUGCCGAAGUUAACACAUUAAGUACUCCGCCUGGGGAGUGUGACCGCAAGGUUG